GACGAACGCUGGCGGCGUGCCUAACACAUGCAAGUCGAACGAGACGUUCGGGACUUUGGGCGCACGGCGUCGUAACCGGUGGGAACCUUCCCUUGUGUUCGGCAUAACUCUCCGAAAGGGAUACUAAUGCCGGAUAGGAUCUUAUGCCCAAAGAUCUAUUGCCUCGGGAUGGGCGCGAGUUGGAUUAGGUUGUUGGUAGGGUAAUAGCAUAUCACGGCGAGGAUCAAGAGCUGGUUUGAGAAGAUGAUUAGCUACACUGGGACUGAGACACGGCCCAGAAUCCUACGGAAGGGAGGAGAGGGGAAUAUAGGACAGUGGGGGAAGGCCUGAUGCAGCACUGCCGCGUGAGUGCUGAAGGCAUUGGGGUUCUAAAGCUCUUUUACCCGGGAUGAUAAUGACGGUACCGGGAGAAUAAGCCCCGGCUAACUACGUG
rnacentral:rRNA from 1 species